rnacentral:rRNA from 1 species
UACGUAGGGUGCGAGCGUUGUCCGGAAUUAUUGGGCGUAAAGAGCUCGUAGGCGGUUUGUCGCGUCUGCUGUGAAAACCCGAGGCUCAACCUCGGGCCUGCAGUGGGUACGGGCAGACUAGAGUGCGGUAGGGGAGAUUGGAAUUCCUGGUGUAGCGGUGGAAUGCGCAGAUAUCGGGAGGAACACCAGUGGCGAAGGCGACUUCUUGGCCUGUUCUUGACGCUGAGGCGCGAAAGCUGGGGGAGCAAACGGG